GACGAACGCUGGCGGCGUGCUUAACACAUGCAAGUCGAACGGUAAGGCUCCAGCUUGCUGGGGUACACGAGUGGCGAACGGGUGAGUAACACGUGGGUGACCUGCCCUGCACUUCGGGAUAAGCCUGGGAAACUGGGUCUAAUACCGGAUAGGACCAUGGUGUGGAUACUGUGGUGGAAAGCUUUUUCGGUGUGGGAUGGGCCCGCGGCCUAUCAGCUUGUUGGUGGGGUAAUGGGCUACCAAGGCGGCGACGGGUAGCCGUCCUGAGAGGGUGGACGGCCAAAAUGGGACUGAGGAACGGACCAGACUCCUACGGGGGGCAAGAGUGGGGAAUAUUGGCCAAUGGGCGGAAGCCUGAUGCAGCGACGCCGCGUGGGGGAUGACGGCCUUCGGGUUGUAAACUCCUUUCACCAUCGACGAAGGGUUUCUGACGGUAGAUGGAGAAGAAGCACCGGCUAACUACGUG
rnacentral:rRNA from 1 species